ACUAAGCGUACACGGUGGAUGCCCUGGCAGUCAGAGGCGAUGAAGGACGUGCUAAUCUGCGAUAAGCGUCGGUAAGGUGAUAUGAACCGUUAUAACCGGCGAUUUCCGAAUGGGGAAACCCAGUGUGAUUCGUCACACUAUCAUUAACUGAAUCCAUAGGUUAAUGAGGCGAACCGGGGGAACUGAAACAUCUAAGUACCCCGAGGAAAAGAAAUCAACCGAGAUUCCCCCAGUAGCGGCGAGCGAACGGGGAGCAGCCCAGAGCCUGAAUCAGUGUGUGUGUUAGUGGAAGCGUCUGGAAAGGCGCGCGAUACAGGGUGACAGCCCCGUACACAAAAAUGCACAUACUGUGAGCUCGAUGAGUAGGGCGGGACACGUGGUAUCCUGUCUGAAUAUGGGGGGACCAUCCUCCAAGGCUAAAUACUCCUGACUGACCGAUAGUGAACCAGUACCGUGAGGGAAAGGCGAAAAGAACCCCGGCGAGGGGAGUGAAAAAGAACCUGAAACCGUGUACGUACAAGCAGUGGGAGCACGCUUAGGCGUGUGACUGCGUACCUUUUGUAUAAUGGGUCAGCGACUUAUAUUCUGUAGCAAGGUUAACCGAAUAGGGGAGCCGAAGGGAAACCGAGUCUUAACUGGGCGUUAAGUUGCAGGGUAUAGACCCGAAACCCGGUGAUCUAGCCAUGGGCAGGUUGAAGGUUGGGUAACACUAACUGGAGGACCGAACCGACUAAUGUUGAAAAAUUAGCGGAUGACUUGUGGCUGGGGGUGAAAGGCCAAUCAAACCGGGAGAUAGCUGGUUCUCCCCGAAAGCUAUUUAGGUAGCGCCUCGUGAAUUCAUCUCCGGGGGUAGAGCACUGUUUCGGCAAGGGGGUCAUCCCGACUUACCAACCCGAUGCAAACUGCGAAUACCGGAGAAUGUUAUCACGGGAGACACACGGCGGGUGCUAACGUCCGUCGUGAAGAGGGAAACAACCCAGACCGCCAGCUAAGGUCCCAAAGUCAUGGUUAAGUGGGAAACGAUGUGGGAAGGCCCAGACAGCCAGGAUGUUGGCUUAGAAGCAGCCAUCAUUUAAAGAAAGCGUAAUAGCUCACUGGUCGAGUCGGCCUGCGCGGAAGAUGUAACGGGGCUAAACCAUGCACCGAAGCUGCGGCAGCGACGCUUAUGCGUUGUUGGGUAGGGGAGCGUUCUGUAAGCCUGCGAAGGUGUGCUGUGAGGCAUGCUGGAGGUAUCAGAAGUGCGAAUGCUGACAUAAGUAACGAUAAAGCGGGUGAAAAGCCCGCUCGCCGGAAGACCAAGGGUUCCUGUCCAACGUUAAUCGGGGCAGGGUGAGUCGACCCCUAAGGCGAGGCCGAAAGGCGUAGUCGAUGGGAAACAGGUUAAUAUUCCUGUACUUGGUGUUACUGCGAAGGGGGGACGGAGAAGGCUAUGUUGGCCGGGCGACGGUUGUCCCGGUUUAAGCGUGUAGGCUGGUUUUCCAGGCAAAUCCGGAAAAUCAAGGCUGAGGCGUGAUGACGAGGCACUACGGUGCUGAAGCAACAAAUGCCCUGCUUCCAGGAAAAGCCUCUAAGCAUCAGGUAACAUCAAAUCGUACCCCAAACCGACACAGGUGGUCAGGUAGAGAAUACCAAGGCGCUUGAGAGAACUCGGGUGAAGGAACUAGGCAAAAUGGUGCCGUAACUUCGGGAGAAGGCACGCUGAUAUGUAGGUGAAGUCCCUCGCGGAUGGAGCUGAAAUCAGUCGAAGAUACCAGCUGGCUGCAACUGUUUAUUAAAAACACAGCACUGUGCAAACACGAAAGUGGACGUAUACGGUGUGACGCCUGCCCGGUGCCGGAAGGUUAAUUGAUGGGGUCAGCGCAAGCGAAGCUCUUGAUCGAAGCCCCGGUAAACGGCGGCCGUAACUAUAACGGUCCUAAGGUAGCGAAAUUCCUUGUCGGGUAAGUUCCGACCUGCACGAAUGGCGUAAUGAUGGCCAGGCUGUCUCCACCCGAGACUCAGUGAAAUUGAACUCGCUGUGAAGAUGCAGUGUACCCGCGGCAAGACGGAAAGACCCCGUGAACCUUUACUAUAGCUUGACACUGAACAUUGAGCCUUGAUGUGUAGGAUAGGUGGGAGGCUUUGAAGUGUGGACGCCAGUCUGCAUGGAGCCGACCUUGAAAUACCACCCUUUAAUGUUUGAUGUUCUAACGUUGACCCGUAAUCCGGGUUGCGGACAGUGUCUGGUGGGUAGUUUGACUGGGGCGGUCUCCUCCUAAAGAGUAACGGAGGAGCACGAAGGUUGGCUAAUCCUGGUCGGACAUCAGGAGGUUAGUGCAAUGGCAUAAGCCAGCUUGACUGCGAGCGUGACGGCGCGAGCAGGUGCGAAAGCAGGUCAUAGUGAUCCGGUGGUUCUGAAUGGAAGGGCCAUCGCUCAACGGAUAAAAGGUACUCCGGGGAUAACAGGCUGAUACCGCCCAAGAGUUCAUAUCGACGGCGGUGUUUGGCACCUCGAUGUCGGCUCAUCACAUCCUGGGGCUGAAGUAGGUCCCAAGGGUAUGGCUGUUCGCCAUUUAAAGUGGUACGCGAGCUGGGUUUAGAACGUCGUGAGACAGUUCGGUCCCUAUCUGCCGUGGGCGCUGGAGAACUGAGGGGGGCUGCUCCUAGUACGAGAGGACCGGAGUGGACGCAUCACUGGUGUUCGGGUUGUCAUGCCAAUGGCACUGCCCGGUAGCUAAAUGCGGAAGAGAUAAGUGCUGAAAGCAUCUAAGCACGAAACUUGCCCCGAGAUGAGUUCUCCCUGACUCCUUGAGAGUCCUGAAGGAACGUUGAAGACGACGACGUUGAUAGGCCGGGUGUGUAAGCGCAGCGAUGCGUUGAGCUAACCGGUACUAAUGAACCGUGAGGCUUAACC
rnacentral:rRNA from 1 species